rnacentral:lncRNA from 1 species
GUAAAUUCAUUGGCCUACGCAAGUCUGAGCUCUAGGUCUGAACCCGCAUGGACCUGAGGGUGCACCGAGAAAAGAAAGGCUGACAACUGGAUCCCGGGAAUGUCAAGGCCACCCUGGGCUUGAAGGGACCGGCCAUGCCUCCAAGCCUUGCCCAGAGAGGGGGUUCAGGAUGCUGCGUGGUUCCAGGUGAUCUAUUGCUUUCUCGAGUUUAAAGUUCAGAGGAUCAUGAAGUACCACAGCUGGAAGGGGUGAUGGAUGGAAAGAAGGAAGGAAGGAUGGAUGGAUGGAUGAAUGAAUGAGCGGGUGAGCGGAUGGAUGGAUGGAUGGAUGGAUGGAUGGAUAGAUGGGCCAGAGACUGGGAACGGUAAUGCCGGCCAGACGGGUCCGAGCGCCUCGGGAGCCCCAGCCCUCCUCCGGCUGCGGGGCCGCUGCUCCUGCUCCCGGGCCGUCACGGAGCCCUGAGGGAGGGGGCGGGCGAGCGGGGGCC